UCCAAAACGUGUAUAUGGUCUGUGGGAGCGUAAUAACCCCUGAGCCAAAUUCAGGAAACUGGCUACAACAUCAACAAACACGACAGAUAAACAUGAUGGGACAUUCCGCCGGUCGCCGUGGAAACGCUGAGAAAGCACAGCUGGACGGGAGAAUAUGAGACAGGCCAGUGUCAUGGCAGCCAGAUGGAUGGAGUGCAUGGAGUCUGGUCGUUUGUUCAGAGCCCGGACAAACUGGAAGUUGAGGAUCCCACCAAUCAGACCACAGAUACAGCAUGCCGAAAAUAGGAUCAUCUGGGGGACAGGGAGAAUGGUUUAUGUCAAUGCAAACAGCAGAAUUGAUAUCUUCUCCACAAAACUGUAAACAAACUGACAAAAAGUGAUCAGAUGGGAGAUAUACAAGCUACUGUUGAGAUUCAUCUCCAUCAUUUUCUGUUUUGGACGACGGCUGCUCUGAUGAGUAAUGCGUAUCAGUCAAAAUAAAUCUAAUUUCCUAUUAGAAAAUUGGAUCGCUCUCAAAGCAUACUGUCUCUUCCAGAAAUAUUGCACAGCUUGUAAAUAUGCUUGCAUCACUCACUUGUGCUUUUGUGCUUGUGUUUGUGUGUCUGAUUUGUGUGUGUUAGACAGUACGUGAGAUUUUCCAUUCAGUGUCUAAUAAAUCACAUUUUAUGGAUUACCUUAGAAAAAAGCAGUUGGAAAAUUCAAACUCAGUAAGAGUAUCCAAUUUCCCUCCCACCAGGAUGUGAUGGGAGAAUGACUGCAGUCGCUUUGCAAUCAGAAUAAUAAAAUCCAAUCGAUUCACUUCUACACGUUUAUUGUGCAGGCAUGCUUGUGUUUGUGUGAGUGUUGUGUCAGGAGUUCAGGUUCUCUUAUUGCUCCCAGUAGAGAUGCCUUUAGUGCCUUUAACCACAUGGAAAAAGGCUUCUCCAAUUUCAGUCAUUACUCUGUAAAGUGUGGAAAGCGGCUGGCAGGACUCCGGAGCAAAACCAACAUAAUGCAAUCAUCACCCCACAGGCAAACAAGGAAGGAGGAGAUGGAGAGAGUCAGAGCAUCGAAACGACCGGGGAGGAUGAGAUUGGACAGAGAAGGUGGAGAGAUGAGAGCGAUGAAAAAGGGAAAGUCACGAGGAUACAAGGAGGACGACAGAGACAAUAGGCGGGGAUGGAUAGGGUGAGACAGAGGGAGAGAAAGGUUGAGGGAUGUCUCUGUUACAGCAGAUUGUGCUGACAUUGAUCCAUCAUUAGUGCCCUCCCUGUAGGAGAGGCACAGAGAGGCUGCGAUGGGAUCACUAUGUAUAAAAGAUGGAGGGAACGACAGAAAGAGAAGAGGAGAGGUGACUGUCUCCUCGGAUUUCCGCAAAUGUCUUUUUCAGAGCACACUGUAGGCCUACGCACCUGCAGGACAACGAGCACCUUUGGGUGUUUCACAUGAUCAGACAGCCAUCACUUGUAAACUUGUAAGGGAAUGUACUCAGGCCUUGUUUGUACAGUCAUUGUCCAAUUUCUAACUCAUGUUUGCUCGUUCGUGAGUUUGUUGAUGAGAAGGUUAAUAGCUCCCAAAUCUGUUUGUUAUAUAUGAAGCUAGCAGGUGGUUAGCUUAGCUUAGCAUAAAGCCUGGAAGCAGGGUGAAACAGCAGCACUGUGAAGUUUACUCAUCACAACUGUAUAUUUCAGGGUUAUUUGCCAGACUUUUCAUAGGACAGUAUCCAGUUGCCAGGCAACCAGCUGUCCAAUACAUAUUUGAACACACUCUUUUUUUGUGCAGAAUAAACAAAACAAGAUCUGAGUAUUAAUCUGUGAAUUUUGGAGGUGCGGAUAGUGGGACAGGGACAGAUUUCCCCUUUCUUCCAGUGUUAAAGCUAAGCUAAGCUAUGCAAUGCUAAGCUAAGCUUAGAUAUGCAAUGGAUGCAGGCUGUGGCCUUAAUUGUAUAAGAAUAGUAAUGAUCUUUGCAUGCAAUACUUUGCAAAAA